rnacentral:rRNA from 1 species
GAUGAACGCUGGCGGCGCGCCUAACACAUGCAAGUCGAACGAUUAAAGCACCUUCGGGUGUGUAUAAAGUGGCGAACGGCUGAGUAACACGUGGGCAACCUGCCCCUUUCAUUGGGAUAGCCACGGGAAACCGUGGAUAAUACCCAAUACUUCGAGACUUCCGCAUGGAAGACUCGAGAAAGCUCCGGCGGAGAGGGAUGGGCCCGCGGCCUGUUAGCUUGUUGGUGGGGUAACGGCCUACCAAGGCAAUGAUGGGUAGCUGGGUUGAGAGACCGACCAGCCAGAUGGGGACUGAGACACGGCCCAGACUCCUACGGGAGGCAGCAGUGGGGAAUCUUGCACAAUGGGCGAAAGCCUGAUGCAGCGACGCCGCGUGCGGGAUGAAGGCCUUCGGGUUGUAAACCGCUUUCAGCAGGGACGAGGCGAAAGUGACGGUACCUGCAGAAGAAGCCCCGGCUAACUACGUG